GACGAACGCUGGCGGCGUGCUUAACACAUGCAAGUCGAACGGAAAGGCCCUGCUUUUGUGGGGUGCUCGAGUGGCGAACGGGUGAGUAACACGUGAGUAACCUGCCCUUGACUUUGGGAUAACUUCAGGAAACUGGGGCUAAUACCGGAUAGGAGCUCAUGCUGCAUGGUGGGGGUGGGAAAUUUUCGGCGGUUGGGGAUGGACUCGCGGCUUAUCAGCUUGUUGGUGGGGUAGUGGCUUACCAAGGCUUUGACGGGUAGCCGGCCUGAGAGGGUGACCGGCCACAUUGGGACUGAGAUACGGCCCAGACUCCUACGGGAGGCAGCAGUGGGGAAUAUUGCACAAUGGGCGGAAGCCUGAUGCAGCAACGCCGCGUGCGGGAUGACGGCCUUCGGGUUGUAAACCGCUUUCGCCUGUGACGAAGCGUGAGUGACGGUAAUGGGUAAAGAAGCACCGGCUAACUACGUG
rnacentral:rRNA from 1 species